rnacentral:rRNA from 1 species
UGGGGAAUAUUGCACAAUGGGGGAAACCCGUACGAUGCAGCGACGCCGCGUGAGCGAAGAAGUAUUUCGGUAUGUAAAGACUCUAUCAGCAGGGAAGGAAGAAUGACGGUACCUGACUAAGAAGCACCGGCUAAAUAACGUGCCAGCAGCCGCGGUAAUACGUAUGGUGCAAGCGUUAUCCGGAUUUACUGGGUGUAAAGGGCGUGUAGCCGGGCCUUUAAGUCAGAUGUGAAAUCCGCGGGCUUAACCCGCGAACUGCAUUUGAAACUGAGGGUCUUGAGUAUCGGAGAGGUAAUCGGAAUUCCUAGUGUAGCGGUGAAAUGCGUAGAUAUUAGGAAGAACACCAGUGGCGAAGGCGGAUUACUGGACGAUUACUGACGCUGAGGCUCGAAAGCGUGGGGAGCAAACAGGAUUAGAUACCCUGGUAGU